rnacentral:rRNA from 1 species
CCCCGGCGAGGGGAGUGAAAAAGAACCUGAAACCGUGUACGUACAAGCAGUGGGAGCCUCUUUUAUGGGGUGACUGCGUACCUUUUGUAUAAUGGGUCAGCGACUUAUAUUCUGUAGCAAGGUUAACCGAAUAGGGGAGCCGAAGGGAAACCGAGUCUUAACUGGGCGUUAAGUUGCAGGGUAUAGACCCGAAACCCGGUGAUCUAGCCAUGGGCAGGUUGAAGGUUGGGUAACACUAACUGGAGGACCGAACCGACUAAUGUUGAAAAAUUAGCGGAUGACUUGUGGCUGGGGGUGAAAGGCCAAUCAAACCGGGAGAUAGCUGGUUCUCCCCGAAAGCUAUUUAGGUAGCGCCUCGUGAACUCAUCUCCGGGGGUAGAGCACUGUUUCGGCAAGGGGGUCAUCCCGACUUACCAACCCGAUGCAAACUGCGAAUACCGGAGAAUGUUAUCACGGGAGACACACGGCGGGUGCUAACGUCCGUCGUGAAGAGGGAAACAACCCAGACCGCCAGCUAAGGUCCCAAAGUCAUGGUUAAGUGGGAAACGAUGUGGGAAGGCCCAGACAGCCAGGAUGUUGGCUUAGAAGCAGCCAUCAUUUAAAGAAAGCGUAAUAGCUCACUGGUCGAGUCGGCCUGCGCGGAAGAUGUAACGGGGCUAAACCAUGCACCGAAGCUGCGGCAGCGACGCUGAUGCGUUGUUGGGUAGGGGAGCGUUCUGUAAGCCUGUGAAGGUGUGCUGUGAGG